rnacentral:rRNA from 1 species
AGGAUAAACGCUGGCGGCGUGCCUAACACAUGCAAGUCGAACGUCCUACGCAAGUAGGGAGUGGCGGACGGGUGAGUAACACGUGGGCAAUCUACCUUUCGGUGAGGAAUACCGGCGAGAAAUCGCCGACAAUACCGCAUACGCUUCGCAAGAAGCAAAGUCGCAAGACGCCGGAGGAGGAGCCUGCGCCCGAUUAGCUGGUUGGUGGAGUAAUGGUCUACCAAGGCGACGAUCGGUAGCUGGUCUGAGAGGAUGAUCAGCCACACUGGGAUUGAGAACGGCCCAGACUCCUACGGGGGGCAGCAGUGAGGAAUUUUCCGCAAUGGGCGAAAGCCUGACGGAGCGACGCCGCGUGUGGGAAGAAGGCCUUCGGGUCGUAAACCACUGUCGAAGGGGACUAUACUGAAGGUACCCUUGGAGGAAGCCCCGGCUAACUACGUGCCAGCAGCCGC